GGCUGAAGGGAUCGGUCUUGAAAACCGACAGGCGGGUUACACCGCGCGGGGGUUCGAAUCCCUCUUCCUCCG
rnacentral:tRNA from 1 species